GCUGCGAUGGGACAAUCUGGUACUCCACCGGCCUUGAGAGCCGGCUUGCUUUGCAUAUCCCGGUUCAAAUCCGGGUCGCAGCG
rnacentral:tRNA from 1 species